UCCAGAAAUUAGGGGUGUCUUACUAGACUCUUUAAAUACUACUCUGCAGUGGAGUAUCGCUUCGCCAGUACGGUGCUGCAUCUUUCCCACACGCAAUGAGUUUUCUUAUGAGUCUCUGGUAAGACUGAGAUUAUACCCAUUGAACCUGUCGGGUCAUGCCGUCGUAGGGAUUGUUAAUGUUGUUAGAU
rnacentral:ncRNA from 1 species